GAUGAACGCUGGCGGCGUGCUUAACACAUGCAAGUCGAACGGUGAAGCUCAGCUUGCUGGGUGGAUCAGUGGCGAACGGGUGAGUAACACGUGAGCAACCUGCCCCGGACUCUGGGAUAAGCGCUGGAAACGGCGUCUAAUACUGGAUAUGAGCUGCGAAGGCAUCUUCAGCAGCUGGAAAGAUUUUUUGGUCUGGAAUG
rnacentral:rRNA from 1 species